CGUGGAUAAAGUGACCGGGAAGUGACAUUGGUGUUGGCACCAGAUUCAUGGUCAUUCAAUAUGAAUUGAUCAAUAGUACUUGGAGCACCUUGUUAUUGUUUAAUUGUACUACCAUAGUACAUUUUGUAACGGUACUAAAUGUUAAUAAGAGUCAUAACAAUUUGAUGGCAGCUGAUGACAAAUAACACGGCCCUGUAAAAACUAAAUUGCCAUAAACAUUUAUGACAGAUGUUGGUGACAGUUACUGUCAGUUACUAAAUUAUGCUGAUGUAUUAGCUGGAGUACAGUGGGAGCUUUGUUAUCAGUCACACUGACAGACCACAGGUGUCAAAACACCAUCCGUCAGAUGACAAGAAAUCAGCCAUUGACUAAUUAAAACCUCACUGAAAUGGGGAUAAUGAUAAAAAGUAGAGGCCAAACAACUUGAGUUUCAGUAAACACAUUUGUAUAAAAUAAAAAUAAAAAGUUUCAUGAAAAGCUUUCUCACAUGCGGAAUUAACCGCACACGCAAAUAAGACCCGGACACACUUUCUCAAGAUUACAUUUGACAUAAUAACAAAGUAUUCGGUUAACCGAGGCUGUGUGAAAACUGCCCCAGGCCUACUCCCUUCUUCACAUAGGCGAACAGUGGGUGUCCACCGAAUGUGCAUCGGUGGUCGGUCUCGUCGGACAAACUUGCGCCGUUUCCUGAGUUAGGUUCCAGAAUAUCCAAAUCCUGAGGCGAAAAGGGAGGCUGGGAAAGCCACCCGGCACUCUGAGAGAAAACGGAACGUGGUCACGUGUACGUGGUUCACGUUACGGGAGAACCACUUCCCUGAUAAGUUUCAGCCUUGAGGUAUGCAUAUGGAUGACGUAUCUGAAAUCAAGCCCACCUGAUGGCAAUCUCGGUCCUCCACCGUUCGCUGGGUCCUGGCCAGCACAGCGCUGGUAUCUCGCCGCAGGGCGUGGAGGUCUGACAGACUGGCGGGCAGGGAGGGUGUUGAGACUGUGGCUUCACUCCACCGUUUCUCGGUAUCAAUCUCACCUACACGGGUGUCUGUUUCUCUGAAGUAAACCUGGGGAAGCGUGUCACUCACGUUGCCUUUGUCUUCACGGUCUGUCUGCCGCUGGGCCCCAGACAGAGAACAGCAGAUCAACGUCCACAGGACCCCUGCGCUCAUCCACAGCUCAUCCACACCUCAUCUGACAGCAAAUGCUUUAGGUAUGGCCUGGACGGGACGCCUGAAUACAAAAAACUGUUCUGUCCAACAGACUCCUGUUUUUCACGAUAUGUGAAAACUCCCUCAGAAACAAGACUCCCAGUGCAUCACCCUUCGCCUCUAUAGACCAUGAGUCAAGGGCGAGACGUUGCCUAUCGGCCUCACAACCCACAGGACUCUGCCCGGGGAAUUACCACAACGGGACUGGGCGUAUCAUUACAACCGAUGAGUCCAAGUAGGUUGUUUCCCCUCGCUUAAAUGGUUCCUCAUCGUGCCCCUUUGAAAGGGCAUGAUUAAAUUAAUCGUUAAUGCCACAACAUGAAUCAACCACUGAGCGGGAUGGAGAGAAACCGAGGGAACGGGAGAGAAAGACAAGAGAACGUAAGCGGACGAAAGAAUGAGAAAGAAAAGAGGGAGGGCCGUUCUGUCAAUCAAAGAAGAGGCUUUCCGCUGUAAUAAUUAGCCCGCCGUGCUCUCCCGAUCGUUUUCCCGGAGUGCCUCGGUUUCCGUCUCCUCCGUGGCGGAGAUUACCCGCAGCUUGAGCGACGGACACGCCCACCUUUCACUUGACUUUGGGUCGUUAUGUUUUAAUGACCUGCUCAACGGGCGGGCGCCAACGAUUUAUAACGAGGUAAAGCACACAAGUGUUUUGAGGAAUAUUUUUUUGGGUGCGGGGUGGAGAGAAAAGAUAGAGGGCUCUUUGUUUUCGAUCACAGAGGAGGCUUCCCGCUAUAAUAACUUAAACAGCAUCUUUCUUCUGUCUUUGUUCUGAAGUUUGUUUUCUGUCAGGCUG
ensembl:lncRNA